rnacentral:rRNA from 1 species
AGAGUUUGAUCCGUGGCUCAGGACGAACGCUGGCGGCGUGCUUAACACAUGCAAGUCGAACGGGGAUAGUUCAGAUGAGAGCUUCGGCAGGAUUCAGAGCAUUCGAGUGGCGACGGGUGAGUAACGCGUGAGCAAUCUGUCCCAGACAGGGGGAUAACACUUGGAAACAGGUGCUAAUACCGCAUAAGACCACGGCAUCGCAUGGUGCUGAGGUAAAAGGAGGAAUCCGGUUUGGGGUGAGCUCGCGUCCGAUUAGAUAGUUGGUGAGGUAACGGCCCACCAAGUCAACGAUCGGUAGCCGGACUGAGAGGUUGAACGGCCACAUUGGAACUGAGAGACGGUCCAAACUCCUACGGGAGGCAGCAGUGGGGAAUAUUGGGCAAUGGGCGAAAGCCUGACCCAGCAACGCCGCGUGAGUGAAGAAGGCCUUCGGGUUGUAAAGCUCUGUUAUGGGGGGCGAAGGAAGUGACGGUACCCCAUAAGGAAGCCCCGGCUAACUACGUGCC